UUUAAAUUCUUUUUCAUCAUCAGAGGUCAUUUUUAAUGGUUUAUUAAAAACUAAAGCAUUGAAGACAGCGCAUACAAAAGUGUUUCCUUUCCUUAUGCUUUGUAUGAUUAUACAUAAAUGCAUUAAAAUUUUUUAUUAGAAUAUAA